rnacentral:rRNA from 1 species
GAUGAACGCUGGCGGCGUGCCUAACACAUGCAAGUCGAGCGAACGGACGAGAAGCUUGUUUCCUUGCUGUUAGCGGGGGACGGGCGAGUAACACGUGGAUCACCGACCCAUAUGACAGGGAUAAGCACGGGAAACCGGAGCUAAUACUGGAUAAUACUUUGAACUGUAUGGUUCUAAAGCGCAAGACGGUCUUGCUGUCACUUAUAGAUGGAUUCGUGCUGCAUUAGUUAGUUGGUAACGUAACGGCUUACCAAGGCAACGAUAGAUAGCUGACCUGAAAAGGUGAUCGGCUGCACUGGAACUGGGACACGGUCCGGACUACUACGGGGGGCAGAAGAAGGGUGUCUGCAGCAGGGGGCGGAAGCAUGACCCAGCCAAGCCGCGUGAGUGAUAAAGAUCUGCGGAUCGUAAAGCUAAGUUGUUAGGAAAGAACAGGUAUUAACAUAACACGGCACAACUUGACGGUACCUAAACAGGAAGGCACGGCUAACGACGUG